GUAAAAAAUGUUUAAUUUUGAAGUUACUCUGUGCAGAUGACACCACAUAUGGAUAUAAGGCAGAUAGUUUCUUGAGGUAUGAAACAGAUUUUUAGUAGCCUCACAAUCAGGUAUAUUAGAGCAGAAUCGAAGAUCUCCAGUUAAGAGACAUACAUGCAUAAGGAAAAAGACCUUUGCCAAACAUAUGUACAACACAGAUAGGACAGAAUAAAAAUGUGUAGUUGCCUCUAAUGCUUUAAUUUCUUUCAUUUUAGGGAAACUCACUCUUUACUCCAAUAUUUUCAUCAUUAGUGCACCAUUAUCUUUCAGUGCUGUCUACAAUAUAUAGAUGAGAUUCCUCUUCCAUACAAAAUAAUUUAUGCCUUUUGUGUUCCUUUCAAAACCCUUUUGAGACAACCUCUAAUCAUUUUCUUGAUCAAAUGGCAAACCUGGUGUUUAACCCACCCCAUUACUGUCUUCUUCUUAGCAGCAGAAUAUUCUCACUUGAUGUCUGUAACUUAAUCUUCACACAGUUAACCUUCUCCCUCUGCAAUUGCUCCUGUAGCAGAGCUCUGAAGGUGCUUAUUCAUCUUCUCCAUGACCCAGCACUCAGUAGAAACUUUGCAGCCUUAUUCCUUCUAUGCUUUUUGCCCAUAAAUAAGCCAUACUGGUAAAUAAAAAAUCAUCUAUCAUUUUUAGGUCAGUGACCAACAGAUUUAUUACCCAUCCAUAGACAUGUCUCACUUAACUUAAGCUAAACUAAUAGUCUGCUGCACUGGCAUUUCCUCUUAGUGCUCUGACUUAAGACUUUAAGAUUAAGUGCAAAAUGUUCAAAGCCAAAUCCUGUCUUUCUUCCCAUUACCUUUAGCCUUACCACUGGAAAAUACCACAAAGACUUAUGAUUGUGAAUAAUCUUAGAUGUGACCUCCUUAUCCAUGUCUGCCUUUCAAUUCUCACUGCAUAACACUUCUUCACAGCAGAAACUUACAACCACAUCACUCACUCUCUCAUUACUUGCUUCCCACAGUAUUCGUUUCCCUGUCUUUGACAAAUACCAUCUUGCCUUGCUUCUAGCCUGUCAGCAGCAAAGUUAGUUUUCUUAGCUCAUUGUUUUGACUGUACCAUUCUUCUCCUUGUAUUCUGUAACAACAAACAUAAGCUGCUCACAGUGCUUUCAAGGCUCUGUGACUGAUCUAUCCUCUCCCAUUUACUGUAUCACCACAUUUAAAGGCCACAUUAAUGUAAUCAACCUUCACUCAGAUUCUCACCCCUCCCCUACACCUAAAUAGAUCAAUUUAAGCUAUCCAUUGGUAACUGCAGCCAGAUUGCUGCCAGCCAAAUUUCAAGGCCCAGCUCGCUUCCUGGGUCUUUUUGGCAGGCUGAAGUGUGAACCACCUCUUCUACCUGAACUAGAAGCCACUUGAUUUGCGACUAGUCAAGCCAAAGGCUGUAAUGAGGAUGCUUAAUGGAUGAUAGGAAUGCUUCAGUAGAUCAGUCAAAGUACAAUUUGCUGACCUCAAAAAACACCAACAAAAUAACCCCAAACCCAAACCACACACAUCCCUACAAUUUUCCAUCUAUGAUCAUUAGCACAAAUUUAUUUCAGUCAUUAGAAUUCCACUCCUCUCCACUAGCUAUCAGUUUUCAGUAUUUCCCAUGGUUUAAGCACACAGUAUCUUUCUAGUGAUACAAAUCAAACCUCCCACUGACUCAGUGGGAACAGCAGUUUCUCUAGGUGACAAUCCCAAAACCAAAUGGUGAAUGCAAACAUGAGACAAAAAGCCAAAAUAAUCUUAUUAUUAGGUGGAAAGAAUAUAAGAAGAGCAAGUGUUCAGCUGAAACAAUUAUUUAUUAAAGAUUUUUUUUCUUUCAUAGAUCUUCUAUAGUAGUUUUUGAGAGAAGUGCAGUAGCUAGAAAAAUCUGAGUGUUUACAGUUAGGAGCACCAAAAUAAGAUGUUUUAUUCACUUACAAAUAUUUUCUUUUUGGUUUAUGUGUGUGUCUGCAGUCUGGCUGCAAUAUGUUGUUCUCCAAGUAAUUAUUUUCAGAUGACAUCCUGAAUGAUUUUUAAACUGUCAUUUAUUCUUUCCUCUUUACCAAAAAAUAUAUUCUAUCUUCUUUAUUUCUUUUAACCCUCAUAAUCUGCACAAAUUGUUACUAGCACUGCUCUUCUAUCAAUAAAAAGGUGAGGUCCUCUUGACUUCUUUCUGUGACUCCAGGUUCAUGAGUUCUGCUCUUUCCAAGAACACAGUGUGCACCCAGGUGACAACAGACGUGUGGCCAUGCAAGUUGUGCAGUCAGGGGGAUCUAAGUAUGAUACUGGCUUAACACUGUGACAUCACCACUCACUGGAAAACUGGCACACCAGAUCAACAUCUCAGUCGAUGGCCCUUUGAGCUUAUACUAUUUUGGCCCUUAAAAUCUCCACUUGAAAUUCAGUCCUCAGCUGGGGUAAUGUCUGUGAUAAUGUACAGAAGAGGACUGGACAUGUCAAAGGAUUUUGCAGUCAGAAAAAAUAUAGUUUAUAAGAGGAAGAAGACAUACAGAGACCAAAAUGAUGAUUUAGAGUAUUCUCAGAGGAGAGAGGGAGAGACACUGUGUGUACAGUUAACCCCAAAUGCACCAUUACCCUAAACUUACAGGUUACUGUCAAGUCUGGUCUCAGUUAAAAGCCAUUAAGGAGCCCACCGGUCAUGCUUCCAGCUUUUUACUGCUGGACAUAGAAUUUCACUUGACAUCACUGGUCCCAAGAAAAAUUUGUUUCCUCUCCUAAAUCUUGUGAUUGCCAAAGAACCUCUAGAGGGAUUUAUCCUACUGCUCUUUAGAUAAGAGAAACAUAAUGUACUGUGUAACUCAGCAAUUUUUAAAGGUGCCCAAUGCCACAGUUUUCAAAUUUGUAACCAGCCAGAGUAAGGAAUGCUUUGCUGUAUGUCAGAGAACUAGCCAGGUUUAUUUCUUGACAUGAUUAUUGAUUAAAACAUAAUUAAGAAACAUAGGGUUUUAGUCAUGAAAUAAAGUCACAAAGGAUAAAAUUACAAUGGCAUCAUUAAGACCACAUUUAACAAGAUGUUCUCCCUAACUGAAUUCAAUAGCAGUUAUGUUGUGCACCAUUUUCUCUUAGGUUUAUUGAAAACUUACCCACCACUAUCAAGUCAAGAUGGGAUGAUUUUGUCAUUAUGGCUCUUGCAUAUGCCACAGACCUUCUUUCCACACUCACAUCCAUUUGCACAUGAAGAGCACAGGACAAAGGCUGAGAACCUUUCCGACUCAUCUCAAAACAGAAUUUCUCAUGUCUAGAAGAAAGUUUUCCUCCUCUUUCCUUGUGAGUGAUGCCACACAACACUGAGGAGCAAGGAAUUACUUUACUCUUUCCCCACCUCUUCUCCCAAAGUUUCCAUGAAGAUUUUCACUAUAUGUCUCAGUUAGUGCCUUCAGCUUGUAGGUUUAACGAUCAUUAUAAAACAAAUACGUAAGCCAAUUAAUGGAGGAAAUAUUUAUAGAUACUAUUCAUUAUUAGCUCUAUUCUAAAUGAAUAAAAGUAGAUAACAAUUUGAGUAACACAGAUUCAGCUCCAUGCUUUAGGUUGCAUGGAUUUUCUCCUACUAUUUAAAUUGUAUUUGUAUUGCUGGGUACAGUAUGGUGGGUACAGUAUUAUUAUACAUAUAUAUAAGAAAAGCAAGGAUUAAUGGAUUAAAAGACUUCCUUCUUUACAUUACUCUGUUCAAUAAGAGUAGUCUAAGCAGAUUUAUGAUUCAGUAGUGGUUUAGCCUAGCAGAGAAGUAUAGUGAAUUUUCCUUACUUACUGUCUAAAUCAAGCAAAGAACUGCAGCAGCUCAACACCCAAAGAAGAGUAGCUUUCCCAAAGCUAGAGGGAACAGAUAAGAGCUCUGUCAGGAAGAACAAGGGUGUCAGGACUCUUCCCUGGCUGAGUUGAGAAUGAACCAGCUGCUGGAAAUGAAAAGCAUUUUCCUAAUUCAGAGUUAGACCUGACUGCGGAGUCCAGGUCUCUGUCUGAAAGACAAAAAAAAGUGGGACCUGACACUUUUGGAGUUUGCUGAAAAGCAAGUGAAUGCCAGCCCAGGGCAGGGAUAGUUAUGAGUCUCCUGUCUGAAAUAUUCAGGGUAAAAAAUAGUGUUAAAACUAAUCAAAGGGACUGGUAAGCGUGGAGUUAUUUACUGGCACUCUGCACUCAUGCACUUAUUAUUUCAUUCUGUUGCUUAAUGUUGACACAGAUACAUGAAAAUACUUCAGUUAUAGUUAAUUUGACCUUUAGAGUUUAAAAUGUAACUGUUUAAUGGCAACACAUUUUAUCCCUCUGUCUUUGACAUUCCUCAAAAUCAGGCUCCUGGGAUACUUUAGGGCUGAUUUGAGAGCUUGUAGCAACUAAAACACAACUAAGAAAGUUUUGUAGCAUCCAUACAGGAAGAGGAGAGCAUGCACAAACCCUGGGGAGUUCUGAGAAGCAAGAGGUACUUACUCCUGAAGAUCAGGGGUAUUGGUAUGGAAUUGCAAGCUAGUGGACUGUUCUGCCUGAUAUUGAAGCCAGGCUGAACUUUCCAUCACUUUCUGCAUCAAAGAUGGAUAUUUCUGCUCAGGUUUGGGUUCUGAUAUCGCCUGUAUUUUUCUGUUUCUCAGUCAGAUUCUAGGCAAAUCACCAGCUACCCUCAGCAUCAUUUUGCACUGUAUCCUGAAACAUGGAAAAAGCUCACAAAAGAGAAACUUGCUUUGAGGUACUGAGAAAAGGGAUGUGAGUUCUGAACCUUCAGAUUUGGCCUACAACAGGCCAGAAAACAACAUCAUCUGAUUGAAAUUCUCUGCUGUCAUCUUAUAUCACAUUUUCUGGAACUGUGGGUGGGGUGGGAGGCUGCAACUCAUCAUUUUUGUUUCUGAAACACUAAGGGCCAAAUCAUGUGAGUACUCUGAUGAAUUCAUGAUCCUUUGGAAAACAGCUCUCCUAGGACUGACACAAACAUGUUCUUUAAAGUAGAGGAUGAUAAUAAUGCUUAUUUUACCAAAAGAAGAUUGGUAUCAUUGACUUCCUUAACAGAGGAGAUCUAUGGCACAGAGUUACUUAGGGACACUCAAAACCAACCUGGUGUUUCUCCAUGUCGAGUUGGCAGUCCCUCUUGGCAGCAAAGUGGCACAGGGCCUCAGGGCCUCCAUGGCGUGGGGCAGUGCCUGUGAGAUGGGUGCUGUGGUGGCUGAUGGGGCCUUGGUGCAAGGGAAGAGCAUUGCAAAAUACAGCUCGGGCAGCCACUGGGGCUAGCUAAGCCUUGGGUCCCCUCGGGAAGGUGAAGAGCAGCAACACACAGGGAGCAGAAUAAAAAAUAUUUUGCUGGGGUCAGAGGUCUCAGCGGUAUGAGGAGAGAUUGCCUCACACUGAAUUUCAGCAUUUCAAGGAAAAAUGAAAUUAAUUUAAUAUCUUACAGGCAGUGAGGAUGGGAAAGUGAGAUGUUAGGCUGCUCAUCGAGGUCAAGCAACAUAAAAGUACUUAUCUGUCUAUUGUUUCUUUUGAUCAUAACAUUUUGAAGUGUCCAACCACUCAAACACAAGGCUUGUUUGUACUAAACAUCAGCUUUCCUUCAGAGAAGCCCCGUGCCCUGCCUCUGCCAGAUGCUGACUAAAUGAAGGAAAAAGCAUUUUUCUCUACCUUCCUUAUUCCUGGGCUGCUUGCCAAGUCCUUUUCCAAAUCCUCGUGACUCUCUCUCAAGAAAUGGGAGCUGGUUGUGCCUCUUCCCCAGGAGCAGCAGGAGCCAUUGGAGCACUCUGCUGAGCCCGGAUGGGCUGCUGUGGCAGCACCCUCAGUCCCAGUCCUGCCCCUGCCAGCGUCUCACAGGCCCUUCCCAGCCUAGUGUGGGGCUGCCUGGCACUGUGGACCAGCUCCUGAACUCCACUGGUCCCAUGGAACCUCGCCAGCCCCUCCGUGGUGUGUAACCUGCUGCCCAAGAGUAGCUGACCGGAGGCUGUGGCUGCUUUCAGCCCUGAAUGCCCAGAGCUUUCUGGACAGAGAGCUGACUGAUUUACAGAUGUAAUAUCACUGUCUACUGGCAGUCCUUCCCAAAGUGUGAUGUUUGGACUCUAAUGGAGCCCAUGAUCCCUCAGUCAAAGGGAGUGGUAUAUCCUCCACCGCCUCCAGCAGCCUUUUAUGCAGUACAUGAAAGUAAAAUUGCAGUAAUUUCAGAUAUUAAAGGAAAUAAAUACAUGGCUGACAUGAACUCCACAGCAGUACUGAACAACUGUUCUUCUUUAUCUGUCCAGUGGGUCUGAAAAUAUGAAGUUUUGAGCUAAAGGAGACUUUUAGCCCUGAAAGUUUUCCUUAGGACUUAGGAAGCAUUCAUGUUGAUACAUGCAGGUCCCUCAAAUAAAGAACUGCUGCCACAUUCAGGGAAUCUUUUAGAGAAGAUACAAUUUUCCUUGCCAGUAUCAGUACUUGUUUGUGUUACUCCUUUCUCAAAACUUUCAGUUUCAUAAAUAAUUUUUUAGAAAUAAAUAAGAUAUUUGGAAAGGGAAGGACACAAAUCUUUGAUUUGAAAAAAGUAGCUUCAGAAACUUCAAUCUUUCAAACAACUGAAAAGAACACUUAGGAUUACUUUAAAAGCACAAAAAAUCUCCACUUUUUUUCCAUAAAAUUAUCUGCAGCUAUAUAAACCUGAGUAUUGCUCCUCUGCUUAGGAAUACCUGCUUCAUUAAACACCAGGGAAAACACUGCACCAUUCCUUCUACUGUCUUUUUAAUAUUAGGUCUGAAUUGUUAUAAGCAGGAGUAUUGUCUUCAGCCAAUUCAAGGAUUUAACCCACAUGGAUUACCCAGGCAAAAAUCACAUAUGUAAAGGAAGUUGAAAGAAUGUGAAGAACCUCCUUCUAAUAAAUGAACUAGUAACCAUGCAACUUGGAAAAAAGCUGGUGGAAUCCCUUUAGGAUCUUACCCUAAGACUGAUUAAGGGAACUCAACUAUAUCUGCUGACAAACUACUCAGAAUAUUUUGUGAACUGUAACUGAAGUGUGACUGAAACUUGUCAUUUGGGCAGAAAUCAAUUCACUGUUCCUACAGCAAAAUGUAAAAUUCCCAGUACUAGUAACUUUUAUUUAAUUGAAAUAAAUAACUUCAAUUUUAAAGACUAGCUGGGCAGAAGUAUCCUACAGGGUGUUGACAUCCAGCUUCUUUCUGUGGAAGCUGACUUACAGUAGUGCCAAUUUAUGAACUAGUGAGAAGGUCUGUGAUUUAAUUAAAAACAGAACAGAUAAAAUCCUUCCUUCAUAAAUGAAAGCUAACACCCUCUAAUUGUGUGUAGCUGAGCAAGAAUACAGAGCAGCACGGGUGAGCCUUCUUUCCUUACAAUACCCUGGAGUCUCUCGUUCUGGGAAAUUGCACAAUGGCUAAUUUCAUUUAUUUUUUAAUAUUUCAUUCUUGUGUAUGUGUAGAGAUCUGCUUAAUAAUCCAGAGUAACAGGAACUGGGUCCUGGAUUUUCAAAGCAGUCUCCCAGUUCCAGAAACCUCAUCGAUGGAUGCCCACCCUUCAAAACCUAAGAUGAUGCUUUCUUUGAAUGCAAUCACUAUUGCAUUCAGGAUGUCAUCUGAAAAUGCACCAUCCAGCAUCCAAUUUUUGGCUGCAACUUUACAUGUGAUAGAGGAGCAAUGUCUGGAAAAUUGUCAGGAUAGUCAAGUGUCUUAAUUCCUCUCCACGUUAUGCAGAUAGGGCAGGAUGGGCUGGGGAAUCAGCAUUAAUCAGUAAAACUCAAGCGAAGAAAAGCACCAGAAAUGCUUCCUUCCUAGGGAUUUUCAGACACAGUGGAAUCAGACCACGCAGAAAUCCAUUUAGAGAUGUUGUUUCCCAUAAUGAUUGUUGUACUCUAAAUGUGCCUUCCCUUGCCAUGAUGCUGAGCUGUCCCUGCGUGGUACAAAGUGGAAGCUUCAAGUACCAUCUCAGCUAUCUUGGCAGCUGGAAUAUGAGAUUCCUUGUAUCCAAAUGAGGCUUCAGACACACUCUGAAGACACUCUCUGUUUUACUGAAUGCUUUCUAUUCUACUAUAUAAUUUUUGAGGCAGGUUUGACCUCUUGUAGUAUGCAGGAU
rnacentral:lncRNA from 1 species